UUUCGGUUGGGGAGGGGCUCGCGGCCUAUCAGCUUGUUGGUGAGGUAAUGGCUCACCAAGGCGUCGACGGGUAGCCGGCCUGAGAGGGUGACCGGCCACACUGGGACUGAGACACGGCCCAGACUCCUACGGGAGGCAGCAGUGGGGAAUAUUGCACAAUGGGCGGAAGCCUGAUGCAGCAACGCCGCGUGAGGGAUGACGGCCUUCGGGUUGUAAACCUCUUUUAGCAGGGAAGAAGCGAAAGUGACGGUACCUGCAGAAAAAGCGCCGGCUAACUACGUGCCAGCAGCCGCGGUAAUACGUAGGGCGCAAGCGUUAUCCGGAAUUAUUGGGCGUAAAGAGCUCGUAGGCGGUUUGUCGCGUCUGCUGUGAAAUCCCGAGGCUCAACCUCGGGCCUGCAGUGGGUACGGGCAGACUAGAGUGCGGUAGGGGAGAUUGGAAUUCCUGGUGUAGCGGUGGAAUGCGCAGAUAUCAGGAGGAACACCGAUGGCGAAGGCAGAUCUCUGGGCCGUAACUGACGCUGAGGAGCGAAAGGGUGGGGAGCAAACAGGCUUAGAUACCCUGGUAGUCCACCCCGUAAACGUUGGGAACUAGUUGUGGGGUCCAUUCCACGGAUUCCGUGACGCAGCUAACGCAUUAAGUUCCCCGCCUGGGGAGUACGGCCGCAAGGCUAAAACUCAAAGGAAUUGACGGGGACCCGCACAAGCGGCGGAGCAUGCGGAUUAAUUCGAUGCAACGCGAAGAACCUUACCAAGGCUUGACAUAUACGAGAACGGGCCAGAAAUGGUCAACUCUUUGGACACUCGUAAACAGGUGGUGCAUGGUUGUCGUCAGCUCGUGUCGUGAGAUGUUGGGUUAAGUCCCGCAACGAGCGCAACCCUCGUUCUAUGUUGCCAGCACGUAAUGGUGGGAACUCAUGGGAUACUGCCGGGGUCAACUCGGAGGAAGGUGGGGAUGACGUCAAAUCAUCAUGCCCCUUAUGUCUUGGGCUUCACGCAUGCUACAAUGGCCGGUACAAAGGGCUGCAAUACCGUGAGGUGGAGCGAAUCCCAAAAAGCCGGUCCCAGUUCGGAUUGAGGUCUGCAACUCGACCUCAUGAAGUCGGAGUCGCUAGUAAUCGCAGAUCAGCAACGCUGCGGUGAAUACGUUCCCGGGUCUUGUACACACCGCCCGUCAAGUCAUGAAAGUCGGUAACACCUGAAGCCGGUGGCCUAACCCUUGUGGAGGGAGCCGUCGAAGGUG
rnacentral:rRNA from 1 species